rnacentral:ncRNA from 1 species
GAGAGUAGGUCUCUCGAAAUCGGCAUUCAGGUGCAGGUUUCAAGCUGCUUGUUGGUGCUGCAGUCAAAAGCUGUGGUAUUGAGCGUAAUAGGAAAAGGUUGGUGAAUCAAUAAAG